rnacentral:rRNA from 1 species
AUUGAACGCUGGCGGUAGGCCUAACACAUGCAAGUCGAACGAGUGGCGGACGGGUGAGGAAUACAUAGGAAUCUCCUCUGUCGUUGGGGAUAACGUAGGGCAACUUACGCUCAUACCGCAUACGCGUGAAUGCGCCGGUGUCGGCUUAGCUAGUUGGCGGGGUAAAGGCCCACCCAGGCGACGGUACGUAGCUGGUCUGAGAGGAUGAUCAGCCACACUGGAACUGAGACACGGUCCAGACUACUACGGGAGGAAGCAGUGGGGAAUAUUGGACAAUGGGCGAAAGCCUGAUCCAGCCAUACCGCGUGGGUGAAGAAGGCCUUCGGGUUGUAAAGCCCUUUUGUUGGGAAAGCGGUACCCAAAGAAUAAGCACCGGCUAACUUCGUGCCAGCAGCCGCGGUAAUAC